rnacentral:rRNA from 1 species
AGGGUUUGAUCAUGGCUCAGAAUCAACGCUGGCGGCGCGCUUAACACAUGCAAGUCGAACGGGAAAGUGGGCAACCAUGAGUACAGUGGCGUACGGGUGAGUAACACGUGGGUAAUCUACCUCUUAGUGGGGAAUAACCCUGGGAAACCGGGGCUAAUACCGCAUAAGCUCGAGAGAGGAAAGCAGCAAUGCGCUGAGAGAGGAGCCCGCGGCCGAUUAGCUAGUUGGCAGGGUAAGAGCCUACCAAGGCAGAGAUCGGUAGCCGGCCUGAGAGGGCACACGGCCACACUGGCACUGAAACACGGGCCAGACUCCUACGGGAGGCAGCAGUGGGGGAUCUUGCACAAUGGGGGCAACCCUGAUGCAGCGACGCCGCGUGAGCGAUGAAGCCCUUCGGGGUGUAAAGCUCUUUCGGCAGGGAAGAUAAUGACGGUACCUGCAGAAGCAGCUGCGGCUAACUACGUGCCAGCAGCCGCGGUAAUACGUAGGCAGCGAGCGUUGUUCGGAGUUACUGGGCGUAAAGGGUGUGUA